UACGUAGGGUGCAAGCGUUAAUCGGAAUUACUGGGCGUAAAGCGUGCGCAGGCGGUUUUGUAAGACUGUCGUGAAAUCCCCGGGCUUAACCUGGGAAUGGCGAUGGUGACUGCAAGGCUAGAGUUUGGCAGAGGGGGGUAGAAUUCCACGUGUAGCAGUGAAAUGCGUAGAGAUGUGGAGGAACACCGAUGGCGAAGGCAGCCCCCUGGGUCAAAACUGACGCUCAUGCACGAAAGCGUGGGGAGCAAACAGGAUUAGAAACCCGAGUAGUCC
rnacentral:rRNA from 1 species